CCUGGUUCAGGUGGGAGGAUCAUGAAUUUACAAUUUUUUAUUUUGAAAGUGAUAAGAUACUGAUAAAUAUUUUUAAUGAAAAACUUCUCUUUGAAAAUCAAUGUUAAGAGAAUGAAAAGACAACCCAGCACAUAAUAAACUAUAAAACUAUAGUUUUAACUAUAAAGCUAUAAUAAUACAAUGAAUUCUAAUGGCUAUAAUGCUAUUGCCAUUUUUUUUUCAGUACUGGAGAUUGAACCCAGAGCGUUCACACAGAGCUAUAUUCUCAGUCCUUUUUUAUUUUUUAUUUUGGGACAGGGUCACACUAAGUCCCUAAGUUGUCCAGACUGGGUUUGAACUUGCAGUCCUCUUGCCUCGGCCUCCCAGAGUGGUGGGAUUACAGGUGUACUAUACUGCACCCAGUUUGCUGUUGCAAAUUUUUUUUUUUUUUCUUGGUACCGGGGAUCGAACUCGGGUCCUUGCGCUUGCGCAGUGGACAGUGAAACCACUGAGCUAAAUCCCCGGCCCGCUGUUACAAAUUUUUACGAUGGAAAAGGUUUAAAGAGCCACUUCACCAAAGAAAAUAUAAUGGGCAGCAAGUAAGCACGUGGAAAGGUCUUCAGGAUCACAGUCCUUAGGCACCUUCCAGCUGAAAGCAGUGAGCUCACCCCACACACACACACCCGCUGGCGUCGCUGACCUUAAUCCAUGAUGAUGUGGAGAAGUGACCCUUGCCUGCUGCUGCUAGGAAGGUGUGGUCGUGCAGUUACUUUGGGAAACAGUGUGGCACAACAAAGAAACAUUGAACAUAUCCGCACUGUCUAACCCGACUUUCCACCCACAGGUGUUUACUUCAGAGAGCCACACUGAGACCUGCACAUGUGAGCUGGGCUGUGAGCUCCAGAGCCUGGAAACAACCCACAUGUCCAUCAGCAGAUCAUCUCCAAAUAACUCACAUCUGCGGGACUAGGGGUGUUGGAUUCCAAUACGAAGUUGAGAAGACACAAUUCAGCCCAUAACAGGCAGUAGAUGGGCCAUGAAUUAGUCAUCUUUCUGUUACCAUAACAAACUACCCGAGUUAACCAAUUUAUGAAGAGAGGAUUUAUUUUAGCUCACAGGUUUCCCAGUGCUGGCCUUUACCUGAGACUGGUUCUCCUGGAAAACACCUCUGGCUAAGAAGUGCCCACCAGCCCAUAUGACCUAGAGGAGCUUUGCUGUCUGCAUGUCUGUGAUGCCUGUUUACCGGUGACAAAGCCAAUAUUUUCCUUCUGAUAUAUCAGCAUUGUCUCAAGAAUGAUUUGCUGAGAUGAGAGCAGUUUGUCCCUCUGAAACUGGCAGGGAAAAUACUGCCUGUGAUUUGGACUGGCUGACAGGCUUCCCACCUGGAACGGCCUGCCACAGCAGCCUGAAGGAUGUCAUCAUCUUACCUGGUUGGUGUUUGUCUUUGAUAAGUUCAAAUCUGGCAAAAGGCAAAUCGGUGGAGGGGCUGGGAUGGAGCUGGCAGAUGACUCCUCCAGGGUCAGGUCAGCUGCCUCUCACUCCACCUUGUCCACAUGACUGUGGGACAGUGCCCAGAGCUAGGCACACACAUGGGUGUUCCUGAGUGCUGGGGCACUCUUGGGUCAGAUUGCCGGGGUAACUGGGCUUCUUGUGCCAUGUUAGUAUCUCCAAAUAAUUGCUUUUGGCAUAUAUGAGUCCUGGAUGAAGAGGCUAAAUUUUGCUUAAAAAGAAAAAAGUUUUCAUCACUAUAAUCUGUUGUAAACUGAGUGUGCAUUUAAAAAAAAUUGUUAAGCUUUUCACUACAGAUUUUCAGAGUGAUUUGUCGACAUGAAGCCAUUGCCAAGUGCUGUGGGGUCCAGGAGGAUGAACACAAGUUCAGAGAAAGACUCAGGAUGGCGAGUAGCCAGUCAGCAGCUUGUGGGAAAGGGCCCGGCAGAUGGGCUGGCAGGGACGUGCUGUAGCAGCUACCAUGAGCAGCAUCUGCAGAAUGGCUCUGCUUCCUGGUCCCCACUACAGGCUCCCCUUAGAACCUACUUUCAGAAGGAAAAUUAUUUCCGGGGAAGCCCUGGGGGAUAGGAUUCUGGGAGUCGAUUCAGCAUAGACUGAAUUGUAGGCAGAGCCCAUAUGCCCUGUCCCUUGUCAGAAAUGAGAGCUCACGGGGAGCAGCAGAACAGGAAACAGACACCCUCAAACAGGCCAGGGUUCCCAAGAGAGGGUGUGGCUAGGCCAGGAUGGGGUGAGACAACAGGGCUGUGAGGGGAGCAGGUGGAUGUGGCUUUCUGAUUGCUCUCAAGUUGACACCUACAGACAGCAAAUGGCGAUAGGGUCUUGUGGGAAGUUGGAUUUGGCCAAACCCCAGCACCUAAAUAAUUCCAUGGACCUUGCCUCAGAGGAUAACUGAUAAAUAAUGGGAAUAUUUUGCUAGAUGUUUUCUUUGAAAAAUGUGAACUUUGUUCAUUACAACAUUGUUUCCGGAUAGGAGGCCAGGCACAUGUUGUGCUACCUUACUCAACAUCAAAUCUAGAGAAAAGUAUAAUAAUGAAAUAAUUCAGUCUCUUAUCCAUGGAGAAUACAUUCAAGACCCCUAGUUGAUGUCAGAAACCAGAUAGUGUCAAACUCUACAUAUACUAUUUUUUUCCUGUACCUAUGAAAAAGUUUAAUUUAUAAAUUAGGCAGAGUAAGAAACAACUGACAAUAAAAAGAACAAUCAUAAAAGUAAAUUGUAAUUGACGUUUGAAUUUCGGGGCCAUUAUUGGGAUUACUUGAACAUAAGCAUCGAAGCACUACAAACAGCUGAUGUGAGGACACACAUGGCUACUGAGCAACUACUAGGCAGGUAGUGUAUGGAUGAGCCAGGCAAAAGGACAUGACUCCCCUCCCUAGUGGGGUGACAUUUCAUCACACUGCCAGGAUUGCACACAAUUAAAAACUUAUGAACUGUUUAUUUCUGGAGUUGUCUAUUUAAUAUUUCCUGACUGCAGCUGGCCACGGGCAACUGAAGUGAAACCAUGGAUAAGUAGAAGGGCAGCUGCACAAAGCCCAAUUCAGAGCCACAUGGAGGGCGGUUGUGGAUGAUAUGAGGCCCCAAAAGAUGGAGAAGAGACUCAAAGUUUCCGAGGGAAGUUGCAGAAGAUGGUCCCUGGAAAGGUGCCCUGUGCGUAGAAAGGAUAUCUGUUUGGGGAGAAGGUACUGAGCUGGGGGAGAGGUUCAGGAGUGGCCCACCUGUGACGGCCCCAUCUCUCACCUCCUGGGGGUGAGCGGGUGGCUGUCUACAGGGGAGGAAAAGGGCAGGGGACAGUCAUUCCAGGACACGGGCUCCAGGGCAGCCCAGCUUCCCCACUUUCUCUGAGAACAGUGAGUGGUGGCAGUGUUCACGUCCCCAAACUCAGAGACACACGUCUGACCUGUGAGGACACCGACACAGAAGAGAGAGGCCCAUAGGAGAACUCACAUCAGAGGAGAUCGAGUUAAUGGAGCAGCAAGACCAGAUGUGAAAGCAGAUGUAUUUAAAAUUCUCUGAGAGAAAAACAGGCAGCUACAAAACAAAAUGUGGCUAUGAGAAGAAGUCAAGUGAGAGAUGUCAGGAAAACAUUUAAAAAUAUAUAACUCUUAGAAUUUAAAAAUAACUUUAUGAAAAAUUCAAAUAAGCCAAAAAAGUAAAAGAUUCUACAAAAUGAGAUAAAUACUGUUAUAAUUUUAGUAAAUUUUCUUCCAGAUACAUACACACAGUAUACUUUCUAACAAAAAAUCAUACUUACACAUAUUUUAUAUGUAAUAUAUAUCAUACAUAUGUAUUUUAUUCUACCAGACAUAUUUAUGAUAUAUAUCCAGAAAGAAGUUGUUGGUGAUAAAACUGGAAGAAAUCAUGGUAUGAAAGUUUAUAUGUGACCAAGAAAGAGAAUAGCAAAUGUUGUCAGCUCCUAGACUCCAGAAAACUAAUUCCAAAAGUUUCACAGAAAAAGCCUAACUAAAUUGAUGCCUUGAGAGAGUGGGUAAGUACUCAAAAAAUAAAUUCUGACUGUGUUAUCACUAUUUCAGUACAGAAUAAAUAGAUGCCAUAGAUCUCUCCCUCCCCCCUUCUCCAUCUCUCCCCUAAGGAUAGAAGAAGGGCUUCUCUGCAUGCUAACCAACUACUCUACUACUAAAGUACAGCCUCAGCCAUAAAGAAGGUAAAUGAUAAGGAAAUCCUGAGGAUAAGGCAAAGAUCAACCAAAGUCCAUCCAAGAAGCAGGGGCCAAGCUGAGGUGGAAGACAUGGGGAGGAAGAUUUUCUUAAUAUUAGAGAAGGG
ensembl:lncRNA